rnacentral:rRNA from 1 species
GACGAACGCUGGCGGCGUGCUUAACACAUGCAAGUCGAACGGAAAGGCCCUGCUUUUGUGGGGUGCUCGAGUGGCGAACGGGUGAGUAACACGUGAGUAUCCUGCCCUUGACUUUGUGAUAUCUUCAGGAAACUGGGGCUAAUACAGGAUAGGAGCUCCUGCUGCAUGGUGGUGGUUGGAAAGUUUCGGCGGUAGGGGAUGGACUCGCGGCUUAUCAGCUUGUUGGUGGGGUAGUGGCUUACCAAGGCUUUGACGGGUAGCCGGCCUGAGAGGGUGACCGGCCACAUUGGGACUGAGAUACGGCCCAGACUCCUACGGGAGGCAGCAGUGGGGAAUAUUGCACAAUGGGCGGAAGCCUGAUGCAGCAACGCCGCGUGCGGGAUGACGGCCUUCGGGUUGUAAACCGCUUUCGCCUGUGACGAAGCGUGAGUGACGGUAAUGGGUAAAGAAGCACCGGCUAACUACGUG